rnacentral:lncRNA from 1 species
AGCUGCCUUGACUGAGUAAGUCAGAGAAGGCUUCCUGGAGGAGAGCGAAGGGUGUGGGGCUGGGUUGAGAUACAGGAAGAUCUGGGUUUGAAUUAUAGUUUGGCUGCUUCCUAGCUGUUUGAUCUUGGACAAAACUUUCAUUCAUUCUAUAUUUUUUGGAGUGUCUACUCCAUGCCAAUCAUGUGUGAAAUGUUGGGAUAACAAAGGCGAAUUCAAUCUGGCUCUCGUCCUCGGAGCUUAAGCAAAUCAUCUGGGGUAGCGUGACCCAUGCUACGAUGGAGGUGGAAUACGGGGCUGCAGGGCGGGGCCACAGGACAUAGUGGGCAGCUUAACCUCCUUGAGCCUCCCUAUCCCUAAUUCACGUGAUGGGGUUUGUAACCACUUCUCACAUCGUUGAGAGAAAAGGGUGAGCCUGACUCAGAGGUGUGGCAAAGGAAGGGCAGGGCAGGCUUUAAGGACAGGGACAGGGCUGUCAGAGGCUGAGGCUAGGGAGGGGCAGGAAGGGGUGUGAGGCAGGGCGGAAGAGAGCAGGGCCCUGGGCAGGUGCUGAGCCAGGUCCUGCAGGUCACCCAGUCGCUUGAGUCCACGAAUGCUGGAGGCAGGCACUGGAGAGCCAGGGUGGUUCAGCCGCAGCUCCUCUGAGCAGGGAGUCAAACAGGGCUGAAACAGACACCAGCUCUCCAGGACCAGCUGGUAAGAGCUUCUCCACUGCCCCCGAGCCCUGACAGGAGGACUCCCACAGUGUGCAUGGAAGCCCAGGGAGCUCGGGGGCUACAGAGGCACCAUUGGCUCUGGAGCCUGCAGCCCAGACAGCCCCCUCCAGAUGUAAUGGGGGAAGGAGCCAGGGACUGGGAGGAAUUCAGAGGUCAGAGGAGGAGCAGUAUCAGGAGAUACUGCCCUCCUGCAACUCCUCCUCCCAGCUGCUCUCCCCUCCUGCUAGUGCCCACAAUGGCUCCCAGCUGCCUCCUAUAAGGAAGCUUUAUUAGCCUGCAGCCUGUACUCCUCCACGCAGCAGAGCUGACAGGACCCCAUUAGUCAGCUUAUUCAACCCUUCCCCUGGUGCACAAACCCUUGCCAAGCUUUUCUGGCAUUUUGCUCAGCCUGCUUGGACCCUCCAAGCAGGUAGGAACUCACUGUUUCACAAAGCAGUGUUAUUAGAAAGGUUUCCCUGACCCUAGCCCCCCACAUCUAAUCUUUCUCAAAUGUGGGCAGACUUGUUCCUGGCCCCUUCUCAUUCCACCAGUGCACACAUGCACAUGCUCCCUCUCUCCAUCCAAGCUCCAGGAAUCAACCUCUACCCUGAACCAGGUCCCUGAGGACCACCACGUGGCUGCAACACAGCAGGUGUGGGGCAGGGCACAAGUGGGCUUAAGGGGGGUAUAAGGGCUGGCAGUUUGCUCAUUGAUUCACUCAACAAACAUGUACUGAGCACCUCUAAAGGGCCAGGGCCUGUGCUAGGCACUGCGGUGCCAUGGUGAGCAAAUCCAGAAAUGGACCCUGCCCUCUAGGAGUUCACAGUCCAGAGGAGAAGCCCGAUGCUGAACAGAGAAUCACAUCCGUGAGCAACACAAAAGGCAAGGCAAACCCUGGGCAGAUGCCCCCGGGACUGUGUGUUAUGGGCCUACAGGAAGCCUCUCCCAAUGAAAAAGCAAUUUUUCAGCCAGAACCUCCACCAGUGUCUUUCAAACUGUGAGUGGCAACCCAUUUGUGGGUCAUAAAAUCAAUUUAGUAGUUGUGACCUGAAUUACUUGUUAGUGAAAUAGAGAGGAAUUUACAACAUCACACUUAGGAAAUACUGUUUUGUGAAAUGUUAGUUUCAGUUAUCUAUCUAUCUAUCUGUCUGUCUGAGAGAUCAUGUUUAUUAGUUAAGAUAUUAAAUGUAUUUCUUACUGCAGGUCUCAAUCAAAAACCUCUGAAAGCCACUGGCCUAGAGUUAGAGGAAGAGUUAGCCAUGAGAAAUGGUGGUGACACAGGUUCCAAAAGAAGAAACAAUAGGUAUCAGGCUCAGAGAUGAAAGGGCUAGAAGGAGGACACACCAAGUUCAAGGAGCCUGGACCUGUGGCCUUCCCUGCCUCCACCUGGGCCUCAACCGUCACGACCACCUGGCCUUUGAGGUAGGGUUUGGAGAAGGAAGUCAGCCUAUUAUCAGGAGAAGGCUUGAAUUUCUAUAUUCAUAGCUUGUUUCUGUCACUUACUAGCCUUGUGAUCAUGGGCAACUUGUCUAAUCUCUGUCCCUCAGUUUCCUCCUUUGUAAAAUAGGUCUCAUAGAACUCAUCCCCAAAAGUCCUUGUGAAGAUUUAGUUUGUAAGCCAGAUGUCUGCAGACCUCCAGUAAAAGAAUAUGUUUUUGGUAUUAGUAUGUAUGUCCCAAAUAUUGCUUGGAAUAUGCUUAUACAAACAAAAAUCAUUUGUUUUUUAUCUGAAAUUCAAAUUUACCUGGAUGUCCUGUAUUUUAUCUGGAAACCCUACACAGAAAUCAAAUGGCUCACGCUGUGUCUCAGAGCUGCAACGAUCCAACGCCCUCCAUCCUUCAGAGGCUGUCUGAGUCCGGGGACACAACUCCCACCCUCCUCUCCUGCCAGCCGCGGCCCGUGGCUGCUCUCUUCACUUCGUCCCGCUUCGCCCCGACUGUGGAUCUACCCGCUCCCUUCUCCCUCAGUCCCCAAAGCACCAGACUCACAGGCCUGCUGUGUGACCCACUUUUACCGACCUUUCGGGGAGAGUAGAGGGCAUUUGUGACUCAGCUCAGAGCAGGAAACACAUCUCACGUCAACUGUCAGACAGCGCUGCUCCGAAUCCCAUCACAGUGCUCCAGCAGGGGGCGUCCUCACCGGCCGCGGCCACAGCCACGGCUCAACCCGGCCUAGCUCCCAGACACCCUCCUUCCACCGCCUGUUUUCCACCGUCCCCGCCUGCUCUUUCAAGCCAGCAGCAAACAACACCCUAAUCCGUGUCUUUAUUAUUCAAAGACCUUAAGCACUCUUUCCCACCUCGUUCCCAUCUUGAUUAUUUCAGGGAAUGAAUUAGGGAUUCACCUUUACAAUCAAAAAAGUUCUCUCAAAGCCAGGCUACUGGAGUUCUAAUUCUGCCUUCCCACUUUUACUAGCUGUGAAAUCUCAGGAAAGUUACUUAACCUCUCUCUGUCUCAUUUUCCUCAUCUUUAAAAAACAGGAUGAUAAUAUUUAGCUCCUAAGAUGGUUGUGAGGAUUUAAGUGAGCUGAUAUAUCCAAGAAUGUCUAGAACAGCGCGUGGCAGAAUGGGCAUUGCAUAUGGGUUUAAUCUUGUAACUGCCAUGUUUCACCAAUUCUAAGGUGUAUCUCGUUUCUCAUCAUAAGAGCUCUUCCGCUCGUGUGGCAGCUGGGAGUGGCCGUCAUUGCCUGCGCAUACCUAAACUUGGUCAGCAGCCAAGUGUUUUGUGAGACCUAAGAAAGGAAGAGCCCCAUAAGUAAAUGGAACUGUUGUGUUGUUUUAUUACCGAGAAAAGGGCAGAAUGAUUGCUAGUCACACGUGAAGCAAGAAAACCCCGGCAAUAAAGCUUGCAGAAUGAGUGGCUGAGGCUUGAAAAUAAAUGGUGGAAACAAUAGUGGACAAUCUUUUAAAGAAUGGCACAUUGCCAAUGCUCCUGAUGGCACAGAAGGUGACACCAUGCAGAAAAUCAAGGCUCUGAGUCAAAGAGGGUUUCAGAAAAAUUGGACUCUGAAUGUGAAGAAAUCUGGGGACUAUUUUAGCCAAUUUGUUUUGCCUAUAAUUUCCUUUUAUGCAUGCAAAAGAGCAAUUCUGAC